UUGCCCGUAGCAAAGCUCACAGCCUCAGUGUGUCUUGUGACACAGGGACCAUGACAGAAAUUCAUCUUCCAGAAAGUCCGAGAGCAUCCACACCCCCUGAAAAGACCAAGAUGUGAGGUGUCUGCUGUUGAUUCCAGCUUCCACCUCAGUGACAGUGCAAGCUCAGUGAACUGUUCAAGGAGGCUACUGAUUCUGGCCCUGUGACACUUGGUGGUGACGUGUGAGCUGAUUCACCUGGACACUCAGCAAAAUAUGGACUCUACACCAUGAGGCAGGCACACGUUAAUAAAUCUAUAAGAGCACAUAAGCCUGGCUGAUCACCUGAUAACUCCUGUCAUCUGGUUAUGACAGCUUGAGGAUGUCCUCACACACCUGUAACCUAUCAGCUCAUCUGGCAGAAUAGAGAGAGAAGAGACAACACCACAUCUCCUGUUCCUGGAAAGCCUUCAGCCAUCCUUCGAUGACUGAGAACCUCCAUCAACUCUGUCUCCUGUCUGCCUACUAUUAUUAUAAUAAAUAUUGUGUUUGACAAGUUUUUUGUGCUGCCAAAUAUCUCAUUUAGAUUCCAGUCUUGAUAUUUUAAUGGAUAUUUAUAAAUUACAUUGAUUAUCACUUUUGUUGCAUGCUUAACUAGCUCUUGUGAUGAAUUAAACUAGCACCUCACUGUUAAAAGCUCGUUUUAAUUUCAAGCAUGUUUAAGUAUUUAUGGACAUGAACAAAAACAGGAAAUAUAUAAAUUGAGAUUUAUUUAAUUAAUAUAACAAAUAAGGGGGAAAGAGUCAUUGAAAGGCACGUUCUUCUGAAAGCUCCUGAUCCUGACGACACCAGCAGGAGACCACCUGCAGACACCAGAGGACCACCUGCAACCAAGAGCAGCUGUUAUCAGUAAAUAAAUAAUGAAAUCAGGGCAGUUUUAGUGGGCUGAACACAUUACUGAAUAAUUUUAUCAUGGGGUAGUUUCAUAACUUUAUGCAGCAGACUGUAACUUGAGCCCAGAGCUGCUAUCCAGCACGUUUCAGUGGUUUUCCUGCUUUUAACAGGUUGGAUUAGCUGUUAAGCAGCUCAGCUAUUUGUUGCUGAUUAAAACCAGGUGUGUUGAAGUAGAUAAAUCUCUAAAACAUGCUGAAUACUAGGGCCGUGGAGACAAACCCUGCAGCUAAUCUGAUGCUAUGGCUAACGGCUACUUACAUUCAGCGAUGGUUCUGUUGGGUCGGUUCUGGUAAUUUCAGGCAACUCACAAGCUCAAAACAAUAAGGCUCAGGUCCGCUUGUCUCCUCCAAAUAGACUUGGUCCCUUUCUUCUUGAGUGUCUGGGUAAGGAGGGGGAGAAACGUCCUCCACUUCUAAUGACUGCUCAGAGUGAAGGGAGCAAGCAUCGUCUAGUUAGCCAUCGUUUCGUCACUGCCGCGGCUCCGCCCUCUCGGUCCUCCAGGCAACGCCUACUAAUGUUGCAGUUUUUAAAAUUGAUACGUGGGUGGAGUAAGACUCUGAGGGGGGAGUGACAACUUCUUUAAAGAGCAAGUAACGUCUAAAUUAACUUUUUUUGCUGAUGAACUGUAUAAAUGAGUGUCUAAUAGUGUUUUAAAUGUGUGUAUUCAUUAUUUUAGCAUUUUGGUGCAUUUUCUUAAAAAAUUAAAAAUUCUGCCUAAAUACCACAGUAUAGCUCCACCUUCAGCUUAAAACAUAGAAUUUGACUCAUUUUGAAUAAAUUUUAGCCAAUGGCUAAAGAGUAAGAUACUACGUAAUCCAGUAGAGUACUACGUAGCAGCUCUGUGUCAACGUUAUAAAAGCAUCGGGAGUCUCGGCCACGCCUUGUGGCGAGUUGGGAGUUGGAUUUGCAUGAGAGUGUAGGAGGCUAGCCGUAGUUCAGCAUUAGCAUAUAGCAUUAGCAUAUCCUAGUCUUUAGCAUAGCUUUUAGUGUUAUACAUACUUAUUUAGUGUUAGCUUGGCUGUUGGAUAUUGUAGUUUAGUUACUGUUUGGCUGUUAGUGUAAUUAGGAAAGUAGUUCGGGUUUAGUGCUCCAUAUCGUGUUAGCAUGGUGAGAUGGUGUAGUGUAGUAUGGUUGCGGAGCUCUGUCGGGUUGCACUCCUUUCCGCUGGACUUAGAAAUUAGGCGCCAGUGGUUGCGUGUCUGGAAAAGAUUCAGCUCCCGCCUGGUGCUGUAGUUUGCAACCAGCAUUUUACCCGCGAUUCUGCACGUCUCCGUUCCAAGAGGGAGGCUGUGCCCACCGUGGCUCUUCCGCGAUUUAGAUACAGCCCACCGACUCUGCUCCCCCACCAUGACGGGCUACAGUCUGAGGCUAAAUCUACCCAAGACACUGGCUGUCAGACUGAUUUAGUAAUCUGCAAGAAUGCACUUGUCCAGGCUGACGUGGUGUUACCCGUAGCAAAGAGCUCACAGCCUCAGUGUCUUGUGACACAGGGACCAUGACAGAAAUUCAUCUUCCAGAAGGUCCCAGAGCAUCCACACCUCCUGAAAAGACCACGGUGUGAGGUGUCUGCUGUUGAUUCCAGCUUCCACCUCAGUGACAGUGCAAGCUCAGUGAACUGUUCAAGGAGGCUACUGAUUCUGGCCCUGUGACACUUGGUGGUCACCACCAGGUGGUGACGUGUGAGCUGAUUCACCUGGACACUCAGCAAAAUAUGGACUCUACACCAUGAGGCAGGCACACGUUAAUAACUCUAUAAGAGCACAUAAGCCUGGCUGAUCACCUGAUAACUCCUGUCAUCUGGUUAUGACAGCAUGAGGAUGUCCUCACACACCUGUAACCUAUCAGCUCAUCUGGCAGAAUAGAGAGAGAAGAGACAACACCACAUCUCCUGUUCCUGGAAAGCCUUCAGCCAUCCUUCGAUGACUGAGAACCUCCAUCAGCUCUGUCUCCUGUCUGCCUACAAUUAUUAUAAUAAAUAUUGUGUUUGACAAGUU